CCAAAGUGGACACGCCAGGAGGUCACUCUCUCAGGCUCUGUCCCUUUCCACAAAGUAGGAGAUGGGCUUUGUGCCUGCGUAUUUCUAUGACUUGGUAGAGUCCUGUGGAUGAUGACUGAGGAGGCAAACCAUGCAGGAAAAACAG
rnacentral:snoRNA from 1 species